UGAGCUAUAGCUUAAUAGAUAAGCAUCUCAGUUACGUUGAGAAGAUCAUUGAAUUUUAAUGUGGCUUAA
rnacentral:tRNA from 1 species